GCGAGGCUGGCUGCAGCGUGGAGGGGGAAGCAUUUUGUUUCUCAUUGAUCUUCAGAAAUGCACAUGAAGAAGAUUGGUAAAGCAAAAUGAAGUCAUAGCAGCGAAUUGAGACAUUUAUUAGGCCUCCACAAUGAAGACACCACUAAAAAGGCCACGGCCUGAUGGGACUCCACGAUAUGUGAACCACAUUUGCAGACCUGGAAAGUGAGGUGCUGAAGUGCAGAAGGCCUGUCUUGGAACUCCUUCAAACAUGGGGUGCCAGCUGUGAACUCGAAAAGGAUGCACCGACAAAAGCAUGCGGGCUGAUGUCAACUUUUGUCAAGAGGUGGAGUUGACGAU